rnacentral:rRNA from 1 species
UACGAAGGGGGCGAGCGUUAUUCGGAAUCACUGGGCGUAAAGCGUGCGUAGGCUGUCUUGAAAGUUGGAAGUGAAAGCCCAGGGCUCAACCCUGGAAUUGCUUUCAAAACUACAAGACUCGGAUUUGGGAGAGGAUAGCGGAAUUGUCAGUGUAGCAGUGAAAUGCGUAGAUAUUGACAGGAACACCAGUGGCGCAAGCGGCUAUCUGGACCAACAUCAACGCUGAGGCACGAAAGCGUGGGGAGCAAACAGG